UACAGAGGUCUCAAGCGUUUGUUCGGAUUCAUUGGGCGUAAAGGGUGCGUAGGUGGCGCUGUAAGUCGGGUGUGAAAUUUCGGAGCUCAACUCCGAAACUGCAUUCGAUACUGCGGUGCUUGAGGACUGGAGAGGAGACUGGAAUUCAUGGUGUAGCAGUGAAAUGCGUAGAGAUCGGGAGGAACACCAGUGGCGAAGGCGACACGCUGGGCCGUACCUGACACUGAGGCGCGAUAGCAUGGGGAGCAAACAGG
rnacentral:rRNA from 1 species